rnacentral:rRNA from 1 species
AGAGUUUGAUCCUGGCUCAGGAUGAACGCUGGCGGUAUGCUCUACACAUGCAAGUCGAACGAGCUCUUAGGAGCUAGUGGCGGACGGGUGAGUAACACGUGAGAACCUGCCUCAAGGUCGGGGACAACAGUUGGAAACGACUGCUAAUACCCGAUAUGCCUAAGGGUGAAAGAUUUAUUGCCUAGAGAAGAGCUCGCGUCCGAUUAGCUAGUUGGCAGAGUAAAAGCCUACCAAGGCGACGAUCGGUAGCUGGUCUGAGAGGAUGAGCAGCCACACUGGGACUGAGACACGGCCCAGACUCCUACGGGAGGCAGCAGUGGGGAAUUUUCCGCAAUGGGCGAAAGCCUGACGGAGCAAUACCGCGUGAGGGAGGAAGGCUUUUGGGUUGUAAACCUCUUUUGUCAGGGAAGAAAAUUUGACGGUACCUGAAGAAAAAGCAUCGGCUAACUCCGUGCCAGCAGCCGCGGUAAUACGGAGGAUGCAAGCGUUAUCCGGAAUAAUUGGGCGUAAAGGGUCCGCAGGUGGCCAUUCAAGUCUGCUGUCAAAGACCGUGGCUCAACCACGGAAAGGCAGUGGAAACUGUUUAGCUAGAGUACGGUAGGGGUAGAGGGAAUUCCCAGUGUAGCGGUGAAAUGCGUAGAUAUUGGGAAGAACACCGGUGGCGAAAGCGCUCUACUGGGCCGAAACUGACACUGAGGGACGAAAGCUAGGGUAGCGAAAGGGAUUAGAUACCCCUGUAGUCUUAGCUGUAAACGAUGGAUACUAGGUGUAGCUUGUAUCGACCCGAGCUGUGCCGAAGCUAACGCGUUAAGUAUCCCGCCUGGGGAGUACGCACGCAAGUGUGAAACUCAAAGGAAUUGACGGGGGCCCGCACAAGCGGUGGAGUAUGUGGUUUAAUUCGAUGCAACGCGAAGAACCUUACCAGGGCUUGACA